rnacentral:lncRNA from 1 species
UCUCUCUCUCUGCUUCCAGAUCAUCAUGUGAGCUGCUUCCCUCCGGCCAUUCUCUUCUGCCAUGAUGUUCUGCCUUAUCUGGAACCUCGAGUAAUGGAGCCUGCUGUCUGUGGGCUGAAACCACUGAAACUGUGAGUCCUCAAACUUGUCCUCCUCUAUAAUUGUUCUUGUUAGGUCUUUUAGUCAACAGUAGUGAAAGAGCUGACUAAAACACUCAGUGGUAAAGUCCAGGACCUAGUGGUGGAGCCGGGAAGAGGCCAGUGAAUAGUAAAUACUGGGUGGCAUGUUGAGGCUUUGUCCUGUUACAAUUGGGCGUUGCUCUGUAAAAGUUAAAGCUCUUUCCCAACUGUGAAGCGCUCCGGCUUGGAGCAUUACUGCAGUGAUGGCUGACACAGCUGUUAUCCUCACUGCACAGCUGGAGAAACAUGGCAGAGGGGAGUGAGCGGAUAAAUAUGAAGGACAGGCCAGAGAGGAAACCUGUUUCUCGCCAAAUGCUUGUGGUCCCUUCCCUCAGUUAUACAGUUCAUAUUGCUAACAGGGAAAAACACAUCACAACUUUCCUCAAAGGGGGAAAUAUUAAAAAAUACAGACUGGUAUUAGCGAAUAUUAGAUGUCCCCCAAAAGGCUCUUUUUUUCCCCCUUUCCACUUGAUUUGUUGUUAUGCUUUAUUUUCCAAGAAAAUUUCAACUAUCAAGAAAAACACUAAUUUUUCUUUGUGCAGUUUCUAGAAUAUUCUUCCUUGAUCAGGUGGAAAAUGGAGCACAUUGUGAUCUAUGUGCUGAUGGAAUGAAAUAUCACUCACAGAAUUGAUCUAAUUUGUUUCUCCCUUUGGACUAGGACCAAGCGGCUGGGAAAGAAAUAAGUUAGGAACACAGAGAAUACUCUACUGUUUGUUCAAAGAAUAAAAAUGAAAUAAGACAGGAAAAGUUUAGAAAGGACUUUCUCUAAGGCAAUCAUUUAUUAGAAUAAAACCAUAGUUUCUAGUAGCAUAAUCAGAGAAUAUUUUCCCUUCAGUUCAUUAACUUUGCUCUUAGGGCUUAUUGUACCUACCCAAAAGUAUUAUCAAAAGUAACACCAUGUAAAAGUUUCAAUUUCUGGCAUCAUUGGGACAAAGGACUCAGAAAGGUGAAUGAAAUUUUGUUUUGCAUGUUGGCUUAGCUUAUAAAUGAAAUCCUGUGUUUAGAGAAAAGGGAACUCAGGCCAGCCCUAUGAGGCUUAUACAGAGUUCAGUAAACAAAUCUGAGAAUGGUCUCCAUCAGAGCCCUGGCUGCAGAAUUUUCUUACCUUUAUCCAAAGGAAACACAAGUUCAUACCUGACUCCAGAAUCAGGCUUAACAUGAAAACUUCUGAGCUCUCAGCUAUGAAAUCCCUGCCAAUUAUAUUUGUCUUUGUCCAUCAGAAAGUGGCAAUACCCUGGGGGCAUUCGUGACUUGCCCCACUCCUUAUAUUUCGUGCUGUACAAGUUGUCUAAGUGCCUAGGAGAGAAGAGUGAGCAGAAUAAAGGAAAAGAUAGAGUGAAGCUCUGCACAAAUUAGAUAUUUGUCACAGCUCGGGUAAAAGUGCCAAAGAAACUGUGAAUCAGGACUUCCACGAGAGGAUGGAGUUCAGAGCCAGGCUGACAUCUACCUGCCUAGCUGGGGAUGACUCACACUCCCUGUACGAGGCUGUCGAAGUGUUGACAGUGGGGUUAGUCCCAGGCUCAGGAAUGUGGUCAGCAUGCGUGGAGAAGCACACCCUUGUCUUGUAUUUUUCCCCAAAUCUGUUCAUUUAGGACACAUUUCUUAGGAAUUUAAAAGCAUAUUAUCUGGUCAAAAAUCAUCCACAAAAGCUGAGGCAAGGAGUCACUAGGACAGGUUCUACUGGCUAGAUGGGGAAAAUGAGUACAGGGAAUGCAGCUGCCCUGGUCCUCAGAGCUCUUUCCUGAGCUGGCUCCUUCUCCUCCUAAGUCUUCUUAUCUCCCCAGAGCUGUGGAAAUGCCCUUGACCAUCAUCUUAGUUUUGCAUAGUUGAGAGCUUAAUUCUGUUGACCAACUUGGAAAGGACAGAUCUGGGAGUCAGGAUACCUGGGUCCUACUCUGGACUUUGUCAUGAUCUAACUGUGUGAUCUAUACCUCUAGGUCCAUGAUCUUCAAACAGCGGACAUUAACAAAGUCUGGGAACAUUUUUUUCACCACUUGGAGAAUCCUACUGGUAUCUAAUGGCUGAAGCUAAAUGAACUGCUAAAUACCUUACAAUGCACCAGGCACACGACCCACCAUGGGAUUAUCUGACUCAAAAUGUCAAUAAUACCUCUGUUGGGAAGCCAUGCUCUAGAUUUCUGUUUUGUCAUCUGUAAAAUGAGAGGUUUAAAUUACAUCAUUUAAAAAAAUCAUUUUCAGAGACAAAAUACGGAAAGGUAGAUGAAGUAUUUGGAAAAGUAUAUAACUUCACAUUAAAUUUGGAAAUGUAUCAUGCGUGAAGCUGAGAAGCAAAAAUGAAUCCCUCAAAGUAUAAUAAGUGGCAUUAUGGUAGCUCAUAUCAAUAAUAAUAAGAGAAUGUAUCGGUGUGGCUCAGACAGUCCCCUAUGCUAUAAAGAUGUGAGAAAUUACACUGUGUCAACAAGGUAUCCAACAAGGUAUUCAUUUAGAGUGCAGAAAAAAAAUCUCAAGUUCCAAAUCCCAGGUUUCCAUUUAGGAGAGUCUUGUGGGAGGUGAUACACACAAACUCCUCUUUGUCUAAACCAUGUGCCAAACAGAAAGAGGCCAAAGGUGAUCCAUGUGGAAAUAGGUUUUUGGAGAACUGCAAUAAAGGACCUCUUUUCCCAAGUACAACACAAGUGCUGGCAAUAUAAUCCAGGUAACAAGGCAGAGCAGGCCUGGGA